rnacentral:rRNA from 1 species
AUUGAACGCUGGCGGCAGGCCUAACACAUGCAAGUCGAGCGGAUGAAGGGAGCUUGCUCCUGGAUUCAGCGGCGGACGGGUGGGUAAUGCCUAGGAAUCUGCCUGGUAGUGGGGGAUAACGUCCGGAAACGGGCGCUAAUACCGCAUACGUCCUGAGGGAGAAAGUGGGGGAUCUUCGGACCUCACGCUAUCAGAUGAGCCUAGGUCGGAUUAGCUAGUUGGUGGGGUAAAGGCCUACCAAGGCGACGAUCCGUAACUGGUCUGAGAGGAUGAUCAGUCACACUGGAACUGAGACACGGUCCAGACUCCUACGGGAGGCAGCAGUGGGGAAUAUUGGACAAUGGGCGAAAGCCUGAUCCAGCCAUGCCGCGUGUGUGAAGAAGGUCUUCGGAUUGUAAAGCACUUUAAGUUGGGAGGAAGGGCAGUAAGUUAAUACCUUGCUGUUU